rnacentral:rRNA from 1 species
AUUGAACGCUGGCGGCAGGCCUAACACAUGCAAGUCGAACGAGUGGCGGACGGGUGAGUAAUGUCUGGGAAACUGCCUGAUGGCGGGGGCUAACUACUGGAAACGGUAGCUAAUACCGCAUACCAUCGGAUGUGCCCAGAUGGGCUUAGCUAGUAGGGGGGGUAACGGCUCACCUAGGCGACGAUCCCUAGCUGGUCUGAGAGGAUGACCACCCAUACUGGAACUGCGACAAGGUCCAGACUCCUACGCGAGGCAGCAGUGGGGAAUAUUGCACAAUGGUCGCAAGCCUGAUGCAGCCAUGCCGCGUGUAUGAAGAAGGCCUUCGGGUUGUAAAGUACUUUCAGCGGGGAGGCGUUACCCGCAGAAGAAGCACCGGCUAACUCCGUGCCAGUAGCCGCGGUAAUAC